AGCAGCCGCGGUAAUUCCAGCUCCAAUAGCGUAUAUUAAAGUUGUUGCAGUUAAAAAGCUCGUAGUUGAAUUUCGGGAUUAAUAUGUUGGUCGUGCCUUGGUACGUACUGGCAUUAUUGAUUCCUACCUUCUGAAGAACCUCGAUGUCAUUAAUUUGGUGUCUUGGGGAAUCAGGACCGUUACUUUGAAAAAAUUAGAGUGUUUAAAGCAGGCUCGCGCUUGAAUACAUUAGCAUGGAAUAAUGAAAUAGGACGUUUGAUUCUAUUUUGUUGGUUUCUAGGAUCGACGUAAUGAUUAAUAGGGAUAGUUGGGGGCAUUAGUAUUCAAUUGUCAGAGGUGAAAUUCUUGGAUUUAUUGAAGACUAACUACUGCGAAAGCAUUUGCCAAGGAUGUUUUCAUUAAUCAAGAACGAAAGUUAGGGGAUCGAAGACGAUCAGAUACCGUCGUAGUCUUAACCAUAAACUAUGCCGACUAGGGAUCGGAUGAUGUUAAUUUUUUAAUGACUCAUUCGGCGCCUUACG
rnacentral:rRNA from 1 species